GAUGUCUUGCGCUCCGAAGGUUCCUCGCAUAGACUAGCGCUCGUCGUACAAAGCGAACGGGGAAUCACGGAAGCCGGUGCGAGUCCGGCGCGGCCCCGCCACUGUAACGGGCAAGUGGUAACGGCUCUACGCCACUGGGUGUCUUCACCCGGGAAGGCGAGCCGACCGCCCGAAGCCAGGAGACGUCUCCGUUCGCGCCACCUGU
rnacentral:ncRNA from 25 species